rnacentral:lncRNA from 1 species
AGACCGCCAUGGUGACUUGUAAGCAACUCACUGCACUUAGGCACUGGACUACCUGAAUUUCUAAUCCAGUGACGGAAGGCUGCUGGGUGUAGUCAAGUACUUGACUUGUUGGUGCGUGUGUCAAGAUGGGAUUGACCACUCCAGUUCAGGAGCUGUGUACAGUCAUGUUUCAAUUUAGCAAAACCUUGGCUAGGGUAGUCCUAGUGAGGAGUCACAGGACUGUUUAAAUUGA